AAGUCCCUGUAAGUUGGCAUUUGCAUUCCUGUGAUCAUAUUGUUGCUUUUGUUCUUGUAUGUGAGGAUCCAUUGUAAGUCCCUGUAACGUGGCAUUGGUAUUCCUAUGAGCAUAUCUGUGGAGUUAACCUAAGUCCAGACAGAUUGGCAGUUAACUUCCAUUUCUCAUCUUUGUUUUUCUUUUGAGGAGAUUGGUGUAAGUCCAUUGAGUGGCAUCUGAUAUCCAUUUCUGUUUUAGGAGACUGGUGUAAAUCCAUCUAUUG
rnacentral:lncRNA from 1 species